rnacentral:rRNA from 1 species
UUCCCGUACUUGGUGUUACUGCGAAGGGGGGACGGAGAAGGCUAUGUUGGCCGGGCGACGGUUGUCCCGGUUUAAGCGUGUAGGCUGGUUUUCCAGGCAAAUCCGGAAAAUCAAGGCUGAGGCGUGACGACGAGGCACUACGGUGCUGAAGCAACAAAUGCCCUGCUUCCAGGAAAAGCCUCUAAGCAUCAGGUAACAUCAAAUCGUACCCCAAACCGACACAGG